GAUGAACGCUGGCGGCGUGCUUAACACAUGCAAGUCGAACGAUGAAGCCCAGCUUGCUGGGUGGAUUAGUGGCGAACGGGUGAGUAACACGUGAGUAACCUGCCCUUAAGUCUGGGAUAAGCCUGGGAAACUGGGUCUAAUACCGGAUAGGAGCGUCCACCGCAUGGGGGGUGUUGGGAAGAUUUAUCGGUUUUGGAUGGUCUCGCGGCUUAUCAGCUUGUUGGUGAGGUAAUGGCUCACCAAGGCGACGACGGGUGGCCGGCCUGAGAGGGUGACCGGCCACACUGGGACUGAGACACGGCCCAGACUCCUACGGGAGGCAGCAGUGGGGAAUAUUGCACAAUGGGCGAAAGCCUGAUGCAGCGACGCCGCGUGAGGGAUGACGGCCUUCGGGUUGUAAACCUCUUUCAGUAGGGAGGAAGCGAAAGUGACGGUACCUGCAGAAGAAGCACCGGCUAACUACGUG
rnacentral:rRNA from 1 species